AACGAACGCUGGCGGCAUGCCUAACACAUGCAAGUCGAACGAGACCUUCGGGCCUAGUGGCGCACGGGUGCGUAACGCGUGGGAACCUGCCCUUAGGUUCGGAAUAACUCCCCGAAAGGGGUGCUAAUACCGGAUAAUGUCUUCCGACCAAAGAUUUAUCGCCUUUGGAUGGGCCCGCGUUGGAUUAGCUAGUUGGUAGGGUAAAAGCCUACCAAGGCGACGAUCCAUAGCUGGUUUGAGAGGAUGAGCAGCCACACUGGGACUGAGACACGGCCCAGACUACUACGGGAGGCAGCAGUGGGGGAUAUUGGACAAUGGGCGGAGGCCUGAUGCAGCAAUGCCGCGUGAGUGAUGAAGGCCUUAGGGUUGUAAAGCUCUUUUACCCGGGAUGAUAAUGACAGUACCGGGAGAAUAAGCUCCGGCUAACUCCGUG
rnacentral:rRNA from 1 species